CCCACCACCAGGGAAAGAAAAGGAGGAUAAGAAUGUAGACAAGUGCUGAGAGAAUCACUAACAACUAAAGUUACAUCUAACACCUCGGAAGUUCCUGGCACAGAGCAGAAAUUCAAUAAAUACUUGCUGUAUGAUAGAAAGAUGGAUGAAGCGAUGCAAGAAAUCAGCUGCCAUGUCAUCAUGACAUCCAAGCAACCCUAUGGAGAUACUUCUGAUCAACAGUCAACAGGGAACUGAGGCCUCUUGCCAAUACUCAUUUUUUUGCAGAACAGAAUGCAGGCGUUCGCCAACGAGAAGGUGGGAGAGAUCUAUCUGGCCUUGGAUUCAGAACGUAGAGACACCUAUGUCACCAGAAUCUUUGAGACCCCGGGUAGAUGCCCCGACGACGUCCCCUCUCAGCAGGAAGUAGCUACAGAAGACGGACCUUCCCCCCCCUCACCUUGCCCGGACUCUCAAUUUUUUUUCACUAUUACCAAAAGCCUGGAAUGAUAGA